GGCCGCGGUCACCACUGCCACCACCACUCUGAAUUAUUCAAGACCCUCCAGGCCUCAGUGGCAGCCCUUCCCCUCUCCCUGCACAACCGGGCUGUCAACACCAGCCUCUGAGCCUCUGCCAGUGAUCUAUGGACCUCAGGGCCCCCGAGCUUUGGCCUGCUCAGGCUCUGCUUGUCAUGGCUGAAAUCCCCUGGACUGCAUUGGGACCAUACCGCUGAGAGUCUGGUCGCUGGGCUUCCGCUGACAGAACAUCAGAGCCCCAGGACCGAAGAGCCACAGGUUGGGAAGCUGCCACCACUGGGAAUGGUACAUUCAGGAGGGCAUGGUUUUACAGAGAAGUUUGAGGCCCAGAGAUGUGUGAGCUGCACUCCAAGUCACACAGCAAGUUUGGUUCAUUAGCAGGGUAAGUUCUGGGGAUUGGCAGGUGGUGGAGUCUCUUAGAUGUCCUGCACUGGCUGUGGGGUCCUUGGGUCUUCUGCGAACAAUGUGUGUUUGCCCUAGCACUUGAUACUGCAACCCAAGGUCCCACAGGGGCA
rnacentral:lncRNA from 1 species